UGCAUUUGAAGCCCAUGAGGAUGAGAACCUCCGGGGGCGGGGAGGUUCGACUCGAGCGAAGCGAGAGAACGUUGCGCCAGCAACGGCCCGCAGGGCGAGCCACGAAGUGGCGAGUAAUCCUCUAUCACCGAUCA
rnacentral:sRNA from 1 species